rfam:Gossypium raimondii chromosome 9, whole genome shotgun sequence.
AAACCAUGCAUUGGGCAUUUUUUAAUUAAUUCCUUGAAACGCUCCUAUGCUUCGUAUAAUAUCUCAUCUUCAAAUUGUCUAAACGAUGUAAUGUCAUUCCUCAGCUC